AAGGAGUGUGCCUAAUUGAAGCUCACAAGGAGGAAAACAGUGGUACCGACUUAGACGAAGAAGUGUUUGGGGACAGUAUCCCAGCAGUCUUUUCAUGAUAUUAGUUGGAAUGGAAAAAUGAGUCAUUUCCAGGGUCCCCACCUGACUGCAGGUGCUCAUUCUUACUCUCACCCCAGAUGCUGCAGGUGCCGGGGCACCAGAGCAAUUCUCCUGUGGUUCUCACGUGAAGGAGUUGAACAUAUAAUGGUCCCUUUUGUCACUAAAAUGAUGGCAUCAAGUGUUUCACUCUUGGGGCAGCUCUAAAGGAAUUGGGUGCCCUGGGUGAAAAUCAGGUCUGAAGUGGUCAAAACAACAAAACAAAUGAAGAAGUACAAUACUGAAGAUGGCUAACUACAAAAAAUGCAGGCUGUGUGAGGAAAAUUAUUAGGUCAGUGAAUCCCUUUGUGAGGUGCUCAGUUACCUUCAACUAUGGGAUUAAAGCCCAAACUGCAGCCACCUAUGUGAAUCUGUUCCCCCAUCCCCCUGCCACCACUCUCCCACAGUAAAGAUAUUCAAAGAGAGACAGCUGGGCAGGGGUGGGAUUGGGGAGGGGGACUCAGUCGACUGGUGAGACCAAGAGUGGAUUCAAAUCCACUUUCUGAACAGCGGUUUUGAGAGGCAUGACAUCUCAGUUGUCCCAGGGUGUCUCCCUCUAUGUGCACAGCUAUCAGAAACUUGGCAAUGGAAUGAGCAUGAGUCUACCAAAUUGGAAUGUCUUCACGUUAAUUUUGGGCUAUGUGUCUGUGCAAGUGUAACAGGAUGUUGAGUGGGGUUUUUCUCUCUUUCUUAGAUCCUUCUGCAUCCAAGUUUUGUUUUCCAGCAUUUUUGGAGGGUAUCAAAAAGGUGUGACUGAGCCCAGAAUUUAGAGAAAGAGCAGGAGCUGUGGAGCUGCUGGCUAAAAACUAGGAUGUCUAGGGUCGAUGACCAAAGAUAGGAAAUACAGCAUAUUCUACAAUGAGCUGCCAACAGUUAGGGCCAGUCUCCUGCCUGCCAGGCUCACAACCAGGGGACAGUGUAGAAUCAAUAGCACCACUAUCCAUCUACCUUCCCCACAUCUCCCAACCCAACGUAAAAAAGAGGAUGGGAGAGAUGGGGCAGGGCAUGUCCUUUUAGGACAUUCAAUAAGAGUGGUUUAUUUUCCCUUCCUUUUUUUUUCAAGUUCAUUUAUUUUGAGAGAGAACAGGGAAGGGACAGAGAGAGAAGGAGAGAGAGAGAAUCCCAAGCAGGCUCCACACUGUCAGCACAGAGCCCAACAUGGGGCUCGAUCUCACAACCAUGAGAUCAUGACCUGAACCAAAAUCAAAAGUCAGACGCUUAAAUGACUGAGCCCCUAUUUUCCCUUCCUUCUUGUGGGGGCAAUGAUCUCUCCUCUCCAAAGCCAAGGGAUGGGAUCUCCUCAAGAGUCACCCAUGUUUGCUGGGGGUAUCCUCCAAGCAGGAAGUCUGGCAUUUCGUUAUCCACAGAAUGCUUAAUGAGCUGUAGACCCUGCAAGCACAACUUGAAUGUUUUCAGAGUUGUUAUGGAGAGAAAGUUCUUGAAGAGUGUCCUGUGAAACUAGGAAUUCCCUUGUAUUAUAUGGUGAUUAUGAAAUUUUUGCCCAAACUGGGACACUUUUGAAAGUGAAAGGGGACAUUAUUUAUAAUCUCUGGACAACAGAUGUAAAAUAAGACUCCCCAGGUCAACCAGGAUGUCUGCUUAUUGUAUCAUCACAGAGAGUAUGAUAUAUGCAUAUUAAUUAGUUUUAAUCUACUAAUCCUAUGGGUGGUUAGUUAAUAUUUGAAGUUCUCUUAAUUGGACAUGCACACUUUGAAAGUAGUUAGUUAGCAUUUGAAUGAUGGAUGAAUCAGAGAUCCACUCUCUUAAGGCACACUGACUUCAGUUAUCUUUGUUAAUUAGCAAAUGAAUAUUAGAAAAUUUUCAUUAGUGAAAUCAGUGAUGCUCAAGAUGUGUGAAUAGACCAGUAAUAUUGUACAGCCAUUUCCCCCUUGUAUGAAGAGAAUGUAAGUGCUCAGGGAAUUCAAGAGCCUACACUAUUUGGAACAACCCCCUUGGUGUAGGAUUGCAAAGAAAUUGGGAGACUGUUUUCAGUUUCCUAUUGGAAGAUUUUGUUACCUGACUCUGACCAGAAGGCUAAAUGAAUACCAUUGUACCUGCUUCAAGAGAACUUUCAUGCAUGGUUGGACAGAACCUGAGGAUUGUAUUAAACCUCCAGUACAUAUUGUAAGACUAUUUUGUUGCCCUUUACAUGCUUGCCAGUAGGGGUAGCAAAUUUAUUGUAGCAUACCAUGUGGUAGCAAGGUUGAGGGGAAGGACCUACACAGUUCUUACCUAUCUCUAACUGCAGAACUAUAGAUAUCUUCCAGGAAGAUUCAAAUUGGUUUAGACCAGUGUGAAAAACUUGCCAUUUUCAGCCUCUUCUUCACUGUGGAAAACUGGAAAUUCUUGACAUCAGUCCUCAGAGAUUUGAGAUAUGUAAGAACCUAGAGACUAGUGCCCAGUGAGGCCUGGAGAUUUCUGACAAAGGGAAACCAAUGGAGUAACAUAUGGUUCCAGAAGUAAUUGUGCUAUAGUACGUCUAAGAAGCAGAGGGGAGGCACUAACCCAGACAUCCAGUCCUUAGUCCUUGGAGGGUGUGGAAAGAGGACUUCAAUGAAUGACCCAGAAAUUACAGGAGGGGUAGGAGCUCUGGGUGGGUAGAGAAGGGAUUUACCCAUUAUGGAGGGGGCCAGAGUGAAGUUUUACACUAUUUCAAGAAAAAAACACAUGUAGUCUUUAUGCAGCAACUACCACAUAAGCUAAGGUCUUCAGCACUACCCAGCAGAACAAGAGCAAAGUGGGAAACCCCUUCCUAACACUGACAAGUAGUCUCCCAUGACCUCUGCCUCCUUAACCUUCCUCCCCCACUAUGGGUGAUGGGUCCUAGAAGAGGGAGAGGGAAUAUAUGUUCAGAGCCUAUUUUUUUUCUCCCGACUCCAAGCUCUCAGAAACAAAGAAAUGGGUAUUUUGCCAACGGUUUUGUAGGCCAACCAGCAGUUUUAUGAAGUAUGAAGAGAAGAAAGUUGAUCAAAUUUAAAUUAUUCAUCUAUGUUCUUUCCUCAAAUUCUUUCUUCAUUUGUCCUAGAAGAAGUCUCCCCUCACUCUUCCUUUACGUAUGGUUUUAAUUACUAAUUUCAACGAGACUGCUACUAUCCAUUAGGGGAUAUCUGUGGGAGUGUUUUUCCACUGUUACUAUGGAGGGAGAACACUACUGGCUGUGAUGAGCUGGAGCCAAAGAAGCUAAAUGUUCUUCAAUGUGUAGCAAAGUCCAACACAACAAAUUGUACCAUGUCUUCCUUGACCCUUGAAUGUCCUGCUGGAUAUUCACAUAAGUGAGAAAUCCUGUCAUUAUCUGAACCUAGAGCUCACCUACAGUGUGUGUGCAUGUGUGUUUGGCAUGGUUUGUUUGUUUUUUUAAUAAUUUUUUUAACGUUUAUUUAUUAUUGAGAGACAGCGAG